GAUGAAGAACGUAGCGAAAUGCGAUAAGUAAUGUGAAUUGCAGAAUUCAGUGAAUCAUCGAAUCUUUGAACGCACCUUGCGCUCCUUGGUAUUCCAAAGAGCAUGCCUGUUUGAGUAUCAUUAAAUUAUCAACUGUACCAAUUUGGUUGCAGAUUGGAUGUGGGAGAUUUUGCAGGCUUUUGAUUUCUCUUUGAGAAAACGGUCAGCUCUCCUGAAAUAUAUUAGCAGUGCUUUUGUUGGUUCAUUAGGUGUGAUAAUUUAUCUACAUCUUCACAUGGUACCUUCAUUUGUGUAAAGGUCAUAUUGCUUCUAAUUGUCUUUGGACAUAAAAAAAAAAAAACAUAUAAUUGUAUGGAAAACUUGAUCUCAAAUCAGGCAGGACUACCCGCUGAACUUAAGCAUAUCAAUAACGGAGGA
rnacentral:misc_RNA from 1 species